UACGUAGGUGGCAAGCGUUGUUCGGAAUUAUUGGGCGUAAAGGGCGCGUAGGCGGUUUGUUAAGUCGGCUGUGAAAGCCCGGGGCUCAACCCCGGAGGGUCAGCCGAUACUGGCAGGCUAGAGUACGGAAGAGGUAGCUGGAAUUCCCGGUGUAGCGGUGAAAUGCGUAGAUAUCGAGAGGAACACCUGCGGCGAAGGCGACACGCUGGGCCGUACCUGACGCUAAAGCGCGACAGCAUGGGGAGCGAACGGG
rnacentral:rRNA from 1 species